ensembl:lncRNA
GCCGGUAGACGAGCGGACAGGCCGAGCCGCACAGCAGCGGGAGCAGCGCAGGCGCCGCAGCCCCACCUGCAUUGGCGGCGGCGGAAAGCCCCGCCCGCCAUGUUGGCCCGCCCCGCGCUGCUCGCCGCUGUGAGCCCGAGGGCGGCCUGGGCUCUUGGAGGUUUGUCUCCUGCGUGGGUUGUUUUGUCCCGGAGUGGUACGUUGUAGAUGAGAGGCUCAUAGAAAUGCCCCCGAGCCAACGUGCUAACAGGGGCUUCAGUGCAGUGUUACACCCACCGAUACAGAGCUGCUGCACUGUUAGCCAUCUGGAAGGGGAUGUGCACAAGAACAGUUACCAGCACUGCGCUCAAAGAAAGGCAAAGAAGCAGACCUGCUUGAGGACAGCUGCAGCUUUUGCAGUCCUUGCAUUCCAUCAAGGAUGUGAGUAG